GACAAGAGCUUUCUCUGGCUGGGGCUGUGUUGGUGGCUCAGGAGUGUCCACUCCAUCAAGAGUAGGACUUUAUGCCAGCUCUGUCCAGGAGCUGAGGUCUGGCCCUCAUCACUCAAAGCCCAUCUUAGUAGGACAUUCUGGACUUCAGGUCCGGAAUUUGUCAGGAAACCCGAGAGGCUGAAAAUUUCGGAAAUUUCUUUGUUUUUAAAGGCCCUGACUGAUUGGAAGAGGCUCAUCUACUCUACAGAAGGCGAGAAAGCUGCUUUACUCACAAUCUACUGGUUUAAAUAUUGAUCUCAUCUAAAGAGUACUUUCACAGCAAUAUCUAGACUUCAGUUUGAAUAAACAAUGGGGCGCCAUAGCCUAGCCAACUUGACACACAAUAUUAAGCGUCACAAGCACAAGCACUGUGUAGCCUUGGGCAAGCUGCGCAAUCUUUCUGUGCCUCACAUCCUCUCAUGUGGCGAGUGCAGAUAAGGAACAGUCCCUGCCUCAUAAAGUUGUUAUGAGGUUAAAUGCACAAAAACAUACACAGCAGCCUCUUCUGACCCAUGCUUUGCUUUAUGUGCCCCAAACUACUCUUAUGC
rnacentral:lncRNA from 1 species